AGCAAUUCUACAUUUUCCAAAAGUUACAAAAAUGACACCUUGAUCUUUAUCUGCUUUAGCAGAUCUAUAAAAGAUGGAGAGCAGACACAGAGAAGGUAGAAAGUAGAUGAAAAGCAGAUCCAAAGCAGAUGCAAAGAAGAUGACUCUUUCUUUUCACAUUUGAUCUCUUGUUGACUUGAAUAACUUGUUCAUCUUUCCUUUUCAACUUUUACCU
rnacentral:lncRNA from 1 species